rnacentral:rRNA from 1 species
AUUGCCCCAGUAACGGCGAGUGAAGCGGCAAGAGCUCAAAUUUGAAAUCUGGCCCCGUCGGGGUCCGAGUUGUAAUUUGCAGAGGAUGCUUCGGGUGCGGCCCCCGUCUAAGUGCCCUGGAACGGGCCGCCGGAGAGGGUGAGAGUCCCGUCUGGGACGGGUGGCCGCGUCCGUGUGAAGCUCCUUCGACGAGUCGAGUUGUUUGGGAAUGCAGCUCUAAAUGGGUGGUAAAUUUCAUCUAAAGCUAAAUAUUGGCCGGAGACCGAUAGCGCACAAGUAGAGUGAUCGAAAGAUGAAAAGCACUUUGAAAAGAGAGUUAAAUAGCACGUGAAAUUGUUGAAAGGGAAGCGCUUGCGACCAGACUCGCCCGCGGGGGUUCAGCCGGCACUCGUGCCGGUGCACUCCCCCGCGGGCGGGCCAGCGUCGGUUUGGGCGGUCGGUCAAAGGCCCCCGGAAUGUGUCGCCCCUCGGGGCGUCUUAUAGCCGGGGGUGCAAUGCGGCCAGCCCGGACCGAGGACCGCGCUUCGGCAUGGACGCUGGCGUAAUGGUCGUAAGCGACCCGUCUUGAAACACGGACCAAGGAGUCUAACAUCUACGCGAGUGUUCGGGUGUUAAACCCGUCCGCGCAGUGAAAGCGAACGGAGGUGGGAACCCCUCGCGGGUGCACCAUCGACCGAUCCUGAUGUCUUCGGAUGGAUUUGAGUAAGAGCGUAGCUGUUGGGACCCGAAAGAUGGUGAACUAUGCCUGAAUAGGGCGAAGCCAGAGGAAACUCUGGUGGAGGCUCGCAGCGGUUCUGACGUGCAAAUCGAUCGUCAAAUUUGGGUAUAGGGGCGAAAGACUAAUCGAACCAUCUAGUAGCUGGUUCCUGCCGAA